UACGUAGGGUGCGAGCGUUAAUCGGAAUUACUGGGCGUAAAGCGUGCGCAGGCGGUUCGUUGUGUCUGUGGUGAAAGCCCCGGGCUUAACCUGGGAAUGGCCAUGGAAACUGGCGAGCUGGAGUGUGGCAGAGGGGGGUGGAAUUCCGCGUGUAGCAGUGAAAUGCGUAGAGAUGCGGAGGAGCACCGAUGGCGAAGGCAGCCCCCUGGGCUAACACUGACGCUCAGGCACGAAAGCGUGGGGAGCAAACAGG
rnacentral:rRNA from 1 species